GUGGCCGUGUUCUGGCCUGUUCUGAUGUGUUCUUACUCUCCUCCUAACUGAAGGAUUUAACAUGUCGCCUAUGAUGGUAAGUGUUUUCCUUUUUUUGCAUGCUUUCUCUAGACUGUCCCUCCAGGAUGUGGCAUGUGAACAAAAACCGUUCAUACAUGCCACAUCUUUGAUUGACAGGUUGUGUGCUAUAUAUUGCUAUUGUUUCUCUGCGUUACCUGACAAACAAAAUAGCAACUUAGAAUUAAAGUAAAGGGUAUUUUAAUUCUGAAAAAGCAGCAGGUAAAUAUACACUGAGAAGCAUUAACACACUUUGUGUAAGGAAAAUGACAAAGAGUUGUUGUUCCAGCCCACGGAACCAAGUCACCAGCUGCAGCGACUGUUUCCAGACCUGCUCAGCCAGAUGAGCCCCUUGUGGCUAAAGCUUCAGUAAAAGCGAAGACUCUGCUGCCGGUCCCUCCUCAGCUGCUCGCCAUCGCCCCUCAGCUUGUGAGGGAAGAUCAGGAACCCAACGUGUUGAGGCCAAGUGUGUAGUGCUCCUAGCCUCGCAGGGUGUUAUAGAGUGUAUAUUAAUCAUGUAUUGAUAACAUCUGCUGUUAACAAUUAGUUUUUUACAUCUGUUGUUCAAACUUUGUUCCAAAGCACAUGCAAAGCCAGCAUCCCACACUUCUUCUGCAGAGCCGGGGAUACGAAGUGACCACACACAUAUAUAUAGUUCUAGUCAUACUUUUUUAUUCAUUUCAUUUGUUUUACAUUAAUUCUUUGAGAGGAUUUUAAUUUUGUUCAUUUUAGAAUUCAGCUGUGUAUUUUCAAUAAAAUAUAUUAAAAUCA